UACGUAGGGGGCAAGCGUUAUCCGGAUUUACUGGGUGUAAAGGGAGCGUAGACGGUUAUGUAAGUCUGGAGUGAAAGCCCGGGGCCCAACCCCGGGACUGCUUUGGAAACUGUGUAACUGGAGUACAGGAGGGGCAGGCGGAAUUCCUGGUGUAGCGGUGAAAUGCGUAGAUAUCAGGAGGAACACCGGCGGCGAAGGCGGCCUGCUGGACUGAAACUGACGUUGAGGCUCGAAAGCGUGGGGAGCAAGCAGG
rnacentral:rRNA from 1 species